UACGGAGGGUGCAAGCGUUAUCCGGAUUCACUGGGUUUAAAGGGUGCGUAGGCGGGCAGGUAAGUCAGUGGUGAAAUCCUUGAGCUUAACUCGAGAACUGCCAUUGAUACUAUCUGUCUUGAAUAUUGUGGAGGCAAGCGGAAUAUGUCAUGUAGCGGUGAAAUGCUUAGAUAUGACAUAGAACACCUAUUGCGAAGGCAGCUUACUACGCAUAUAUUGACGCUGAGGCACGAAAGCGUGGGGAUCAAACAGG
rnacentral:rRNA from 1 species